rnacentral:tRNA from 1 species
GGCCAGGUAGCUCAGUUGGUACGAGCACUCGCCUGAAAAGCGAGGGGUCGCCGGUUCGAUCCCGGCCCUGGCCA